GAGGCCGUAUAUGGUAGUGGGCGGUAGAAGCGCGCCGAUAGAGGUACGCAAGACCAAUACACGGACGACGCAUGCGCAAAACAAGUGCUGCGCAUGCGUUCAAACUCAGGAAUCUACGGGUAGCUCACCGCGGCACAUGCACGGAUAGUGCAGUAGAGCCGAGAAUCCCGUAGCGUGUGUUUGUUUUUAAUUUCGCGAUCUACGAUCUAACUUUUUAACCUUAACAGAAUCCAACUCGUGAGAGAGGCUGUAUUCUUCUUCUCUCUCUCUUUCUCCCCCUCUCUCUUUCUUUCUCCUUUCUCUCUUCCUCUCAGUGUCUAAUUUUCCUGCCUUUCCCUUCCUCUAUCUCUCUUUCCUUUUUCUCCUUCCCUCCUUCUUUCUUUUUCUUCCCCCUUCUCUCUUCCUCUCCUUUCCUUCUCCUCCUCUUCCUUCUCAACCCUCCUCGUCUUUCCUUUCUCCUCCGCUUCUUCUCCCUUGUUCGUAAUUUCGCUCUCUCUCUCUCUUUCUCGCGCGUGAUACUUCUUUCCCUGUCCCUCCUUCUAUCCUCCCUGUUUCUGUCGCUCUUACAUACUUCUCUCCCUCUCCUCCUCCACCUCCUCCUCCUCCUCCUCCUCCUCCUUUACCUCCUCCUUCUCCUUCUUAUACAUAGUAUACUGACUCCGCUAUUUCUAAAAACGUAACGCAAUCGUGGCGACGUAUGCGAGGAGCGCGCCAGAGAAACCACGAGUGAGAAGGCGCGACGCACGAACAGCGAGUUGUAUUAAUUACGAGAUAAUUGUGCGAAAAAUAAAAAGGCAAAGUGAUAUAAUAGUGAAUAAUUGAAAAAUCAGCGUUAACGUUGUGCAAAACAAAAACGUGAAAGGACUACUGUUGUUUUGAAUCUUAAUUGCAACGUCGUCUGUCUCUUGCUCGUUUACGUUUAACGAUCACUUUUUCUUUCCGUUUCCCUCUCUUUGCAAUACCUUUUUUGUUUUUGUAUCUUUUUCUAUUUUCGCGUGACCGCCAUAGGAGUAAUCAAGUAAUUGCGAUGUGUGAUAAUACUAACACGACGACGCAGAGUAUAGCGGACUACCUGUCACAGUUACUAAAAGAUCGAAAGCAGUUAGCUGCUUUCCCUAAUGUCUUCAUACAUGUAGAGCGCCUACUAGACGAAGUUGUCAACAAGAUAGAAAUCGCAAAAGUGCGGGCAAGUCUUUUCCAGAUUAGUGGCGUCAAAAAGGAGCCACUAGUUCUACCGGAACCAGAGGGUGAUAUCACAACGCUUACGGAAAAAGUUUAUGUACCUGUUAAAGAACAUCCAGAUUUUAAUUUCGUUGGAAGAAUUCUUGGACCACGUGGUAUGACAGCUAAACAGUUAGAACAAGAAACAGGAUGUAAAAUUAUGGUUAGGGGAAAAGGUUCUAUGAGGGAUAAGAAGAAGGAAGAGUUAAACCGAGGUAAACCAAACUGGGAACAUCUGACAGAUGAACUGCAUGUUUUAUUGACAGUUGAGGAUACUGAAAAUCGUGCAACUUUGAAACUUGCCAGAGCUGUAGAAGAAGUGAAGAAACUUCUUGUUCCCGUGCAGGCUGAUGGAGAGGAUGAGUUAAAGAAGCGGCAGUUAAUGGAACUUGCUAUUAUCAAUGGAACCUAUCGGGAUUCUAACACGAAAGUUGCUGCAGCUACAGCUUGCGACGAAGAGUGGAGACGUGUUGCAGCAGCAGCGGCAGAAACACAACGGCUUCUUCCAGGCUUGGCCACACCUAUGAGGACACCUAGUGCUCCGUUAGGAGCUCCAUUAAUACUCUCGCCACGGAUAUCUGUCCCAACCACCGCGGCAUCUCUUCUAAAUGGUUCGGGUCCACCAGGAUCUCUUCUUUCUGCCGGUGAUCCCCAUGGUUUAAUUUACACGCCAUAUGCCGAUUAUGCCAACUACGCAGCCUUAGCAGCCUCGCCUCUCCUCGCGGAUUACACUACUGCUGAUAAUUCUGGUUGACGACUGAACGCAAACUAAUAAAGAGCAUAGGAAAAGCGAUUUGUGAAACUGAUACACGUUUAAAUAUAAAAAAAUAUGUAAUAUAUAAGAUGUAAGUGAGAGCAUUGGGGAAACUAAAAUUGAGAACAAAAGUAUAAAAGAAAGAAGCAUUGGCUAUUAGUUUGCGUUUUAAUCGUAAACUUGUGGAUAACUUUAAUUUGCUAUUAUUGUUUAUAGCGGCAGUUAUGUGACCUGCCGAGGACUGGAUAAUAAUAAAUACAUGUGGAAGCAGAUGAAUUAUACACAUUUGUAUGUUGGGGACAGGUGCAGCAGGCGCUGCGAAACAACGUAGACACUUGGGUCAGAUUCGCGAGCACCCUUAUCAAAGGGCUGGUGCUUUGUCGUGAAUCCGGAGAGCGCAAUCACAAUACUGUACGCGCCUCCGUGAAAAGGCUUGGAGUGCUAACAAUGGAAUCCACUCGCCCCGUGCUAACACCUGGACUCUGGAACAACAUCCGCGUUCGAUCGGUUCACCAACCAGAUGACCACCUUCGCCGUUCGCAUCACCAGCCCUGUUGUUCGUCAAGUUUAUCCAUCCUGUACCCUCUUCGUGUCUUUAAAAUUGUACAGCCUUGUUUAAAUUGCUUUGCUCGUUCCGCUAGCGUUCGUUUGUGCUGGCGUUUCCAACGUCAGACAGGUAAUUAAGUCUCUGAUUGUGAGUUACUUACCGACGAAAAAGGAUCAAUUUUCAACAAAAAUCACUCUGUAUCACGAUGCUGGAAUAUGCGACAAAUAAUCAAUUAGGAUCAUAAUUAAAUGCAUCUUUAUUUUUAACGCAAACGAAGCGAUAAUUUUGCAACAUUUUUUAUUUCGAAGCAAAAUUAAAAUUAUUUCGGUUCUACUGCAUAAAUUUGAGAAAUUUGCCUGAAUUUCAAUGAAUCACCACUAUAAAAUUAAUACAAUGCCAACAUAAUUUAUUAUCAAUUCUUUUGCUUCUUAAACAUAACUAUUUUGCGAAGUACAUAGUUAUUCGACUAUUAUCUUUACGUAUGUACCAUCAUCAUUUUUUCACGUUAAAAUACUAACUUAUUUAUUAUUAAAAUAAUAAAUUUCAAAUUUUUUCGUAUAAAAUGUUUCAAGGCGUGAUAUAACUAGAAAAUAAUAGAUUUUUCAACAUUACUAAAUUCACAAUUAUUAUUCAUUGAAUAGUCUACAAAAAAUCCUAUAUAUAUAUAUGCAUGAUUUGCAACAUGUAUAAUACGUGUAAAUAGUACGUAUCCGUAGAAAUUCUCUAUAUCGUAUACCAUUAUGAAUUAUAAUCGCUAAAUUUAUUUACGACACAUGUCGUAAUGUGGAACAAUAUUACUUAUCUCUUAAAUAUCGUUCAAUUUAUCCUCUUACUGUUAUUAUUUCUUCUUCAUAUUACCUACAAUUUAAAUUGAAUAUUUGUAAACCUUACUAUAUUUAGUAACGUCGAUGCUUGAACGUAUUUUUGCCACGUAUGUAUAUGAACGUGUGAUUAAUGAAAGUUGAGUUUCUAAUAAUAUGCGCAAUGAAACAUGCAUAAAAGCACUAUUCAUACAAGAAACAGAAUCAUAAACUUCGUUUGUUUUACGAAUUUUUAAUACCUUAUAACUUCUGAUUCCAUUAUAUGUAUAGUACUCCUAGCUGAAUAAUGUUCUCAAAGGCAAUUGACUAGAUAUUACUUUAAUUUCAUUGAUAUCUACGACAAAUUAAAAUUCAGUAAUACAUAUUCAGUAAUACAUAUAUGUACAUAUGUUAUACAUUUGUAUAAUGUAUAACUAGGAAAUAUUCAAAAUUCAUGCAAAUUAUUUUGCAAAUUAAUUUAUUAACAAUAUACGAAUCUCAUUUUUCUGUUAUAUCACACCUCUUAGAUGAUCUAUACACUAAAAAUUCAUUUUAAACACUAUACAUGUUUCUAUUUAGAACAGUUUAUCACAGAUUAUAAAAUGAAGUUUUCUGCAUAAUAGCUAUAUCAAUUUUUUAGUACUUACGUCCUUAUUAGAGCAAUAAAAUGAAUAGGGAGAGAAAAGGGGCUAAAAAUUUAUGUAUAAACAUUAUGUAUUUUAUAUAACUUAGAAAAUAAUAUAUCCACAUGUAAUAGGUGCAAUAUAAAAUCAAAAUUUGUUUUCAUUUUGAUACUUUUUAACUGAAAUUGAAUAAUUUAACCCGCGAAAAAAGCAAUUCUCUGAAUAAAAAUUUAAGAAUAUUUUUGUUUUAAUGUUAAGUGAGAGCUAUUUACAGAGAUAAAGUUUUAUACCAAUAAUAGCAUGUUAAAUAAUUGUUAUAUUAAUAGACGAUGAACUUAUAACAUAACACAAAAAUAGAAAAUUUUACGUGUCAAAUUUAAUUAUAAAUAAGAAAUUUAUUGGAUACUUUGUAUCUAACUUUCUGAAUUUACAACUCAUUAGUUUGAUCAAGAAAGGCCAAGAAAAUCAAAAUAUAUUUGAAGAUAUUAAUUAAGUAUUAAAAAUAUAAAAGGUCUCUUUAAAUACACAUAUUAGUUUGUUGUGUGGCUAGGAAGAAUCUCCACUUUUUAACAAAGAGAUACAUAUGUAAUAUUUUAUUAUUUUAUGAUUUGAAAAUUCUGUUAUGUAAUAUUACGGUGCAAUUUACUUGUAAAAUAAUAGACUUUGAUCAUUUAUUGAAUAUUUUCAAUUUUACUUAUCUAGAUAAAUUCACAAAGAAACCAUUUAUUUUUCUUUCCUUUUUAUAAAUGUAGAUUAGGAAGAGUUGUUUAUAAAAACGAUAUUCCUACAAAUGGUGAGCAAUUUAAUUAAGACAAAGAACAGCAUAUGGAAGUUGUUUACUACCUUCAUUGUUAUUUGGAAUAUAUCUACAUUUAUAAUGUUAUAUAAUGAAGUUAUCUAUAUAUAAUAGAAGAGAGUGUUUAUAUGUGAGAUUGAUUUAUUUACCAGUCAAUAAUAUCAUUUAGAUAUACAAAUAAUAUUGUGUUAAUCAUUUAGAUUUGCCAUAUGUACAUGUAAUAAGAACUUUCUAUCAUGUUCAUUUGUGUAUAUUUGAUGAUCUGUGUAACAUGCUUGUACUUUAAACAAGCAUUUUGAACAUUUUCAACUAUAUAAGGACAAACAACUAUUACUUUGUGUAAAUAGAUUAUAUUUCAUGAUCUAAUUGUACUAAGAGUGAUCUGAAUUCUACUUAAGUUUAUAGCUUAAAGUAGUAUAUCCACUAUAUUUUAAUACAAUGUGUAAUUCAAAAUAAUGAUGCAAAAGAAACACAGAUAUUUUACAAAAGCACAUACAUAUAUAGGAGCGGGGGAAGUUGAAAAUUGAUGAAACUUUUGCCGUGUAUUUAGUGCAAUGAUGAUAUCAUUAAUAUAUAUAUAUAUAUAUAUAUAUAUAUAUAUAUAUAUAUACAUAUAUAUAUAUACACGUGUAUAUAUAUAUAUAUCUUUGAGUCACACAUAAAAUAAUAACGUAAAAAUAUAUACAUAUUUUACUUCUUAUUUGGUCUUAUAUAAGUGUCCUGGUUUUGAAAAUCACUAAGAUAUAUUCUUUGAUAUUUUAUAUCGGACUUUAAUAUUAAAGUAAAAUAUGAUAGUGCAUUAAAUAUCAUUUACCCUUCUUAAAUAAAAAAUAAUACAGAUUAUUUUUAGUGAAUGAUAUUAAUUACUGAUUAUGUAUUAAAAAUCUAUAUAUUAUUUGAUUGGAAUGAUAAUUAUAUAAUCAAGUUUUUAUCAUACUUUCCCUUAAUAAUAAAGGAUUUAUAACUGCAUCAUAGGGAGCAAAAGUGUUAUAAAUUUCAAAAAAUAAAAUAAUUUGUUUACAAUAAUCAAUAUAUAAUAUUCGACAACUUCUAGCAAUCUCAAACAAAAGUUCUUUCUUCUAUUUUUUCUUCUAUUAAGACUUUUUCUUCUAUUUUCUUAGAAACAAAAAGUUUUUAAUCUUACGUAUAUAUAAAUAUAUCAUAUAUUGAUUAUGAAAUACUUACAUUCAUAUGUAUCAUUACUAGAUUCAGGACGUUUGAUAUGUAUCUUAAAUUCGGCAAAAUUGUCUCUAUUUUUUAACUUUCCCUUUUAAUAUUAAACAAAUUAUUAUAUGUAUUCAUUGACUGUUUAUAUGUAGAUGAACUUACAUAUUUUUUAAGUCUUAUACAGUUGCAGGUACAUACACAUGUUACAAAAUACGCAUACAAAUUUUUAAAAACAUAAAAAACAUAAUUUAGAAAUAACAAUAUGAUAUAUCAUACUAUCACUACGAUAUAUUGCUCUCAUAUGCGAGACAUUGUUUUUGAAAUGAAUGUAUGAUAUAUAAUCAUUAAUAUUUAAUCACAGUCAGACAAUUAACAAUGUAUUUUUUCAUUAUAUUUGGAAAACUGUAACUUUGGAAUGUUAAUAAUAUUACCAUUAAUAAUCUAUUUACUAUUAAUAAUCAGUCAUGGCAAAAACUAGUUAAUAUUUGUUUAAUUCUAUAGUGUUUUAAGUUUGGUAACAGUAUGUAACAUAUAUGUAUAUAUGUCACAAAAGAUUAUAGAUGCUUUCAUCAAAAUUAUUUUAAUUGGAUUAGAUUAUUUAAAAAUAUUUGACAUUGAGAUCAAGGAGUAAAUAUCAUUUGUAUUUGCAAUACUUAUUCAAAUAACAUGUAUAUGUACCUUUAUAUGGAUAUAUGUAUACAUACAUAGAUUUAUAUAUGUAUGUAUGUAUACAGUUUUGUUAAUAAGAAUAUUUGUAUUUACUAUUUACGUUUAUUACAAUAAUUGCUUAAUUCUUGUCAAAAUUUAUAAAAUGAUUUGUUUUAUAUUUUAUUUUAUUGUUGAUAUUUCUGUCAACAAUGCAAGAUAUGUAGCAAGUAUAGGUCAAAAUAUAAAAUAAUUUUAUUUUCAAAUUAUCUAAAAGAUUUAUUUAUUAAAUGUGUAAUUAAGGUUUUCCAUUGUUCAUUGCAAUUUUUCCAUACAUUGCAGAGAAGGGUAAGAAAGAUUACUGUAUAAAUAUAAUAAUAACAUUUUGAUAUUUUUAAGUACAGAGGAGUAUACUUUUUAAAAAAUUGCGCUGCAAAUAAUGUGAAUGGUAUGCAAAGAUGAUAUUAAUUUCUCCGAGAAACUAAAGUAUAAUAUAUAAUUAAACUAUAAUGUGCAUGUAUAUAUAAUGCUUAACUAUGCAGGCAACUACAUUAAUAUAUUGAAUUUAUUAUAUUAUGCAUUUUGUUUAUAAAUGCAUUACAGAAAUAUUUUGUUAUAACUGUAUCUAUUAUCUGAUUGUAACAUACAAUUUACGCGUUAGAAAAAAAGUAAUUCUCGCCUUCAUCUUUAUUAUACAGUACAUAAAAUUUCAUUGUUGCUCAGUAUAUUAAACUAUGGGUUUAAACAGUA